AGACCAUCCCAAAUCCAAGGAAUGUCCUUCCUGACUGAGUUUUCCCACCCCAAAUCCAAGGAAUGACCCCCCAGGUGAUGUCACCAAUCCCAACAAGGUCUCUGCUCCUCCAGACCAUCCCAAAUCCAAGGAAUGAUCCCCCAGGUGAGGUUUCCAACCCCAAAAUCCAAGGAAUGACCCCCCAGGUGAUGUCACCAACCCCAACAAGGUCUCUCCUCCUCCAGAUCAUCCCAAAUCCAAGGAAUGACCCCCCAGGUGAUGUCACCAACCCCAACAAGGUCUCUGCUCCUCCAGACCAUCCCAAAUCCAAGGAAUGACCCCCCAGGUGAUGUCACCAACCCCAACAAGGUCUCUGCUCCUCCAGACCAUCCCAAAUCCAAGGAAUGACCCCCCAGGUGAUGUCACCAAUCCCAACAAGGUCUCUCCUCCUCCAGACCAUCCCAAAUCCAAGGAAUGUCCCUCCUGGCUGAGCUUUCCCACCCCAAAUCCAAGGAAUGACCCCCCAGAUGAGGUUUCCCACCCCAAAUCCAAGGAAUGACCCCCCCAGGUGAUGUCACCAAUCCCAACAAGGUCUCUGCUCCUCCAGAUCAUCCCAAAUCCAAGGAAUGACCCCCCAGGUGAUGUCACCAAUCCCAACAAGGUCUCUGCUCCUCCAGAUCACCCCAAAUCCAAGGAAUGACCCCCCAGGUGAUGUCACCAACCCCAACAAG